rnacentral:rRNA from 1 species
UACGUAGGGUGCAAGCGUUGUCCGGAAUUAUUGGGCGUAAAGAGCUUGUAGGCGGUUUGUCGCGUCUGCUGUGAAAUUUCGGGGCUCAACCCCGAACUUGCAGUGGGUACGGGCAGACUAGAGUGUGGUAGGGGAGACUGGAAUUCCUGGUGUAGCGGUGAAAUGCGCAGAUAUCAGGAGGAACACCGGUGGCGAAGGCGGCUCUCUGGACCUGUCCUGACGCUGAGACGCGAAAGCGUGGGGAGCGAACAGG